rnacentral:rRNA from 1 species
UACGGAGGGUGCAAGCGUUGUUCGGAAUUACUGGGCGUAAAGCGCGCGUAGGCGGCUUUAUAAGUUGGGAGUGAAAUCCCGGAGCUUAACUCCGGAAUUGCUUUCAAAACUAUAAAGCUAGAGUAUGGCAGGGGACAGUGGAAUUCCUAGUGUAGAGGUGAAAUUCGUAGAUAUUAGGAGGAACACCAGUGGCGAAAGCGACUGUCUGGACCAUUACUGACGCUGAGGCGCGAAAGCGUGGGGAGCAAACAGG